AACCACAGAUGUCCAGCCACAAUUCUCGGUUGGCCGCAGACUCGUACAAGAAUUGCGUUUGGACAAUCAGUGGC
rnacentral:pre_miRNA from 1 species